GAUUUUGGAUGAUUUUUUGUUCCACACCCCCACCCUGGAACGGGUUAUUCCAUGUCUGUGGGACAGAAAGUUCCAAAAUUUUAAGACAAAAAUGCCCCUUGUCUUUUUCAAAAUUUACAUCAAAAAUCAUAUAACAAACCCUAAAAACUAUCCCUCUUCUUCUCAGCCGUCGUGUUCCUCCCUCUGCAUCUUCCCUUUCCUCCUCAUCUUCUUCCUUGUAGCCUCUUCACCUCUGCAUCUUCCGUGUAGCAGCUCUGCGAACCUUCCUCCUCAUCCUCUUCCGUAGCAUCUUCAGCUCUGCAUCUCGGUUCCAGGAACUUUCAAUUUUCUGUAGUUUUGUGGUAGAAUGCAUGAACCGUGCUCAUUUUCUUCGUUGUCAUCAGUAUUUAAAUAAAUUUGCACUCCGUUAUAUUA